rnacentral:rRNA from 1 species
GGGUUGUGAGGUUAAGCGACUAAGCGUACACGGUGGAUGCCCUGGCAGUCAGAGGCGAUGAAGGACGUGCUAAUCUGCGAUAAGCGUCGGUAAGGUGAUAUGAACCGUUAUAACCGGCGAUUUCCGAAUGGGGAAACCCAGUGUGAUUCGUCACACUAUCAUUAACUGAAUCCAUAGGUUAAUGAGGCGAACCGGGGGAACUGAAACAUCUAAGUACCCCGAGGAAAAGAAAUCAACCGAGAUUCCCCCAGUAGCGGCGAGCGAACGGGGAGCAGCCCAGAGCCUGAAUCAGUGUGUGUGUUAGUGGAAGCGUCUGGAAAGGCGCGCGAUACAGGGUGACAGCCCCGUACACAAAAAUGCACAUAUUGUGAGCUCGAUGAGUAGGGCGGGACACGUGGUAUCCUGUCUGAAUAUGGGGGGACCAUCCUCCAAGGCUAAAUACUCCUGACUGACCGAUAGUGAACCAGUACCGUGAGGGAAAGGCGAAAAGAACCCCGGCGAGGGGAGUGAAAAAGAACCUGAAACCGUGUACGUACAAGCAGUGGGAGCACGCUUAGGCGUGUGACUGCGUACCUUUUGUAUAAUGGGUCAGCGACUUAUAUUCUGUAGCAAGGUUAACCGAAUAGGGGAGCCGAAGGGAAACCGAGUCUUAACUGGGCGUUAAGUUGCAGGGUAUAGACCCGAAACCCGGUGAUCUAGCCAUGGGCAGGUUGAAGGUUGGGUAACACUAACUGGAGGACCGAACCGACUAAUGUUGAAAAAUUAGCGGAUGACUUGUGGCUGGGGGUGAAAGGCCAAUCAAACCGGGAGAUAGCUGGUUCUCCCCGAAAGCUAUUUAGGUAGCGCCUCGUGAAUUCAUCUCCGGGGGUAGAGCACUGUUUCGGCAAGGGGGUCAUCCCGACUUACC